rnacentral:rRNA from 1 species
AUUGAACGCUGGCGGCACGCCUUACACAUGCAAGUCGAACGGCAGCACGGGUGCUUGCACCUGGUGGCGAGUGGCGAACGGGUGAGUAAUACAUCGGAACAUGUCCUGUAGUGGGGGAUAGCCCGGCGAAAGCCGGAUUAAUACCGCAUACGAUCUACGGAUGAAAGCGGGGGACCUUCGGGCCUCGCGCUAUAGGGUUGGCCGAUAGCUGAUUAGCUAGUUGGUGGGGUAAAGGCCUACCAAGGCGACGAUCAGUAGCUGGUCUGAGAGGACGACCAGCCACACUGGGACUGAGACACGGCCCAGACUCCUACGGGAGGCAGCAGUGGGGAAUUUUGGACAAUGGGCGAAAGCCUGAUCCAGCAAUGCCGCGUGUGUGAAGAAGGCCUUCGGGUUGUAAAGCACUUUUGUCCGGAAAGAAAUCCUUGGCUCUAAUACAGUCGGGGGAUGACGGUACCGGAAGAAUAAGCACCGGCUAACUACGUG